CGUAGGGUGCAAGCGUUAAUCGGAAUUACUGGGCGUAAAGCGUGCGCAGGUGGUUUUGUAAGUCUGUUGUGAAAUCCCCGGGCUCAACCUGGGAAUGGCAAUGGAGACUGCAAGGCUAGAGUUUGGCAGAGGGGGGUAGAAUUCCACGUGUAGCAGUGAAAUGCGUAGAUAUGUGGAGGAACACCGAUGGCGAAGGCAGCCCCCUGGGUCAAAACUGAUGCUCAUGCACGAAAGCGUGGGGAGCAAACAGGAUUAGAUACCCUGGUAGUCCACGCCCUAAACGAUGUCUACUAGUUGUCGGGUCUUAAUUGACUUGGUAACGCAGCUAACGCGUGAAGUAGACCGCCUGGGGAGUACGGUCGCAAGAUUA
rnacentral:rRNA from 1 species